CAGGGGCAGACUGUGACACAAUUUUAGACCGGGAAAUCUCACACUCAUUCAGGCCAUCCUAUACACUCACAGCAAAUUCCGAAACUACAACCAACCCUAUAUUUAUGGCCAUCACAUAAAAAGGUCUAAAUCCUUAGGCUGGGACUGUGCAAAAUAAUUAAAGGUUUCUCUUGAGUUGCACCUUCACUUCCCUUUUCAUUUUCUUCAUUUUACCCAAUGUAUCUGUCUCUUCCUUGUAUAUGUGUACGUUUAUUUCUUGUACCUGUCACUUCUUUACCAGCAGCAGGACUGUGUCCACCUUGUUGCAAAACAGAAUGUUGUUAUUUUAUCUUAAAAUGAUUUAAAUACCCAAGAUUUAACAAACUUAUAUUUCAUACAAAUAUAUUACAGUAAAACAAAUUUUCUAAAGUGCCUACAUGGCAAAAUUAGUAACAUAUCUUUAUUGAUAAAAUCCUAAUACUGGACACACUAUUGCACUAUUAGGCUGUGACUCACAUUUUUGUGUAGCUAAGCUAUCUGCUCUAGCUCCCUUCCUACCUGAACUAUAAGUCCAUCUGCUACAUUUAUUAAUGUAACUUUACAACAGAUAAUAAUGAUGUCACUAAGCAUAAUGUUUAAAGAAACAGUAUCACAACAUAAUACAAUAGGGUUCCAUUUUGUAGCCUUAGUAGAAUUUUUACAGCAAUUAUUAAUCUAGGUUAAUUUAUUGAUAUAUGGCUACUAUUGAUCAUUGUGUUCUUUUCUAUUAACUGAUAUGAAUUUAUAUAUCUUCAAAUGUUAAUAUGUACUAGUAUAUGUAGAAAUUAACAUUACCUCAAUAAAUGCUGUAAAGGUAUUAUUCAUUGUUAUAUGUUACAUGUUACUGCAGAAACUAUAAUGUACAGAAAGUUUCUCUGAAGUGUUUCCAAAGAGAUAAUUUUGAAGUUGUACUUGUUGAGUGUCUCUAAUAUUAAUAUUUUUUUCCUCAAAUAAGCCAUUUGUGGAAGAUAGCAAUCUUGUAAAAUAGGAAUCUUGUGAAUUUAAUAAAUAAAUAUUUUGCACAUUACAAAAAUAUUGUCCUUUGAGGCUAUAUAUAUAUGUUUUAUUAUUUAAAUGUGUAUUUACUAUUAUUAUCUAGUAACCAAAAAUGAGGCAAUCAGUCCAGUGAGCAACCUCAGGAGAUAGAGAGAGAGAUCCUAUAAAACAUUAUUACCAAAUGCUGUUUAAAAGAAACCUAUUUGAAAAUGCAUUUACUUCCAUGCACAAUGUGAAGAAAAAGUCUCAUUAUUUCAUGAUUCAGGUCUAUUAAGACUAAAAUCUUAUGGAACUAUA
ensembl:lncRNA